UGCCCGGUAGCUAAAUGCGGAAGAGAUAAGUGCUGAAAGCAUCUAAGCACGAAACUUGCCCCGAGAUGAGUUCUCCCUGACUCCUUGAGAGUCCUGAAGGAACGUUGAAGACGACGACGUUGAUAGGCCGGGUGUGUAAGCGCAGCGAUGCGUUGAGCUAACCGGUACUAAUGAACCGUGAGGCUUAACCUUACAACGCCGAAGAUGUUUUG
rnacentral:rRNA from 1 species